rnacentral:piRNA from 1 species
UAGCAGAUGUUUCACACUCAGGAAAAC